UACGUAGGGUCCGAGCGUUGUCCGGAAUUACUGGGCGUAAAGCGUGCGUAGACGGUUACGUAAGUCGGGUGUGAAAUCCCCGGGCUCAACCUGGGAACUGCAUCUGUGACUGCAUCGCUGGAGUGCGGCAGAGGGGGAUGGAAUUCCGCGUGUAGCAGUGAAAUGCGUAGAUAUGCGGAGGAACACCGAUGGCGAAGGCAAUCCCCUGGGCCUGCACUGACGCUCAUGCACGAAAGCGUGGGGAGCAAACAGG
rnacentral:rRNA from 1 species